ensembl:lncRNA
GCUAAAGAGUCUCUUCCUGGAUUUCAUCAAAAUUGCUUCCAAGUCUGUUCUUGCUUGCAGCCUCCACCCGUGGAGUCUUCUUUGCAGGCUCUGAGGCUGCUGACUUAGAUGAGGUCCCCUCUGCUGGCUCUGAGACUUCUGAUAUGGUCCUUCUCAGCACUUACAUUAACAUUUACAUUUACAUUUAAUCAUUUAGCAGACACUUUUAUCCAAAGCAACUUACAAAUGAGAACAAUAGAAGCAAUCAGACCAACAAGAGAACAACAACAGUAUACAAGUGCCAUGACAAGUCUCAGUUAGUCUAGUACAGAACACGUAAGCAGGUUUUUUUUUUUUUCUUUUUAAGAAUAUACCAGACAAGAAAGUGCUAGUAUUAGUUGGUUAAGUGUUUGCGAAAAAGAUGAGUCUUCAGAUGUUUUUUGAACAUUUCACUUGCAGAGCGCAAACUUCUGGAGGGCACAUAAGAUUGAACUAGUGAGCUUAGGUAUGUUGGUGCCAUGCCAGAGGUCGUCUUGUAGGCAAGCAUCAUUACCUUUAAUUUGAUGCGAGCGGCUUCUGGUAGCCAGUGUCACCUGAUGAGGAGAGGAGUAACGUGAGCUGUUUUUGGCUCAUUGAAGACAACCCUCGCUGCUGCAUUCUGGAUCAGUUGCAGAGGCUUGAUAGUACAUGCAGGAAGGCCUGCCAGGAGAGCAUUACAAUAGUCCUGUUUGGAGAGAACAAGAGCUUGGACAAGAAGUUGGGUGGCUUGCUCUGACAGGAAGGGUCUAAUCUUCCUAAUGUUGUAUAAGGCAAAUCUGCAGGACCGGGUCAUUGUAGCAAAGUUGUCUGUGAAGCUUAACUGAAGAUCCAUCACCACUCCUAGGUUUCUGGCUGUCCUGGAAGGAGUUAUUGUUAACGAACCCAGCUGUAUUGAGAAGUUGUGAUGAAACGAUGGGUUAGCUGGAAUCACCAGCAGUUCUGUCUUAGUAAGGUUGAGCUGAAGGUGAUGGUCAGACAGGCUGAAAUGCGAGCAACUACCAUUGGGUCAUCUGGUUGGAAUGAGAAGUAGAGUUGAGUGUCAUCAGUGUAGCAGUGAUAAGAAAAGCCAUGCUUCUGAAUGACAAAUUCUAAUGACGUCAUGUAGAUGGAGAAGAGAAGUGGUCCAAGUACUGAGCCUUGAGGAACCCCAGUAGCAAGUUGUUGUGACUUAGAAACUUCACCCCUCCAAGACACCCGGAAAGAUCUAGCACAAAGCUAGGACUUAAACCACAGGAGUGCGGUUCCAGAGAAGCCCAUCUUUCUGAGGGUGGACAGGAGAAUCUGGUGAUUAACGGUGUCAAAAGCAGCAGACAGGUCCAGCAAGAUGAGUACUGAGUAUUUGGAAGCUGCUCUUGCCAGUCGCAGGGCUUCAGUAACCGAGAGCAGGGCAGUCUCAGUUAAGUGGCCACUUUUGAAGCCAGAUUGGUUGCUGUCCAGGAGGUUGUUCUGUACAAGGAACAUAGAGAGCUGGUUGAACACAGCUCGCUCAAGUGUCUUUGCAUGAAUGGAAGAAGGGAUACUGGUCUGUAGUUAAACUGCAAAGUCCUCAGCUGUAAGCGUCGAUGGAGGAGGAGGUGAAGGCGGAUUAAGAAGAGAAAGUUUUGAAGAGUGUGCGAGCAUCACAACAGUUGUUAAUUUUGUUGUAGUAGUAUGAUGUUUUAGCAGUGAAGACAUUUGCAGAGAAGGAAGAGAGAAGCGACUGAUACACACUGAGGUCGGUAGACUUCUUCCAUCUUCCUUGCUUCUGCCAUUAAUGCAUCCUUUGCAUGUCUUGAUGCAUCUGCAUUUGUGAAGUACCUGUAUCAAUAAAAGUAUUGUACAGAUUAGGGAUGUCA